UACGUAGGUGGCGAGCGUUGUCCGGAUUUACUGGGCGUAAAGAGCGCGCAGGCGGUCGUGCAAGUCGCGUGUGAAAGCCCCCGGCUCAACUGGGAGGGUCACGCGAUACUGCUCGACUUGAAGGCAGGAGAGGGAAGUGGAAUUCCCGGUGUAGUGGUGAAAUGCGUAGAUAUCGGGAGGAACACCAGUGGCGAAGGCGACUUCCUGGCCUGUUCUUGACGCUGAGGCGCGAAAGCUAGGGUAGCAAACGGG
rnacentral:rRNA from 1 species